rnacentral:rRNA from 1 species
CUACGGGAUGCAGCAGUGAGGAAUAUUGCACAAUGGGGGGAACCCUGAUGCAGCAACGCCGCGUGGAGGAUGACGCAUUUCGGUGUGUAAACUCCUUUUAUAUGUCAAGAAAAUGACGGUAGCAUAUGAAUAAGCACCGGCUAACUCCGUGCCAGCAGCCGCGGUAAUACGGAGGGUGCAAGCGUUACUCGGGAUCACUGGGCGUAAAGGACGCGUAGGCGGGUUGGAAAGUCAGGUGUGAAAUCCUACAGCUUAACUGUAGAACUGCACUUGAAACUUCUAAUCUAGAGUAUGGGAGGGGGAGAUGGAAUUAGUGGUGUAGGGGUAAAAUCCGUAGAUAUCACUAGGAAUACCGAAAGCGAAGGCGAUCUCCUGGAACAUUACUGACGCUAAGGCGUGAAAGCGUGGGGAGCAAACAGGAUUAGAUACCCCGGUAGUC